CUGUUUGUUGGAUAACGUGAUGAUGGAGAAGCAGAGUCAGGACACUGUUGGAGGAGGACUGUCUGUAAAGGAUGAAGAGGCGGGAAACGAGAACCUGACAGAGAUGGCAUCCUUAGACGCAGAGGAGGAAGAUGAGGAAGAUGAGGAGGCUCUUCCUCACUCAGAGAUCUUGGAUAUUUUCGAGGAGGGACUUGCUCGACUUGUGCAAGACCCUUUACUCUGUGAUCUGCCAAUUCAGGUGACUCUGGAGGAGGUCAAUUCUCAGAUUGCUUUGGAGUAUGGCCAAGCGAUGACUGUGAGGGUUGUAAAGGCAGAUGGAGAGAUAAUGCCCAUAGUGGUGGUGCAAAAUGCCACUGUCCUUGAUCUGAAGAAGGCCAUUCGCAGAUUCAUGGAGCUGAAACAACAACGCGAAGGUGGAGUUAAACAUGUCAGCUGGAGAUAUGUUUGGAGAACGUAUCAGUUAAUUUUUCAAGGGGAAAAGCUUGAAGAUGACAAGAUGAGACUUAAAGACUACGGGAUCAGGAACAGAGAUGAAGUGACAUUUAUGAAGAGACUCAGGAAAAAAUGAAAUGUCACAGCCAACGUUUGUCACGUCAGGAAAAUACACCAGGUCCCUGUGUGUACUGGUUCUACUUGCCCCGCAGACUGGAAAUGACUUUCACAAAGUGAUGAUUGUUUUGGGGCAUAUCUUGAGCACAUUACAAACUGAUCAAGUCACUCAAAGAGGGUCCAUGUAAAUAAGAUAUCUGGAGAUGUUAAGCCCCCAUUUUACUGACAAGUGUGGCAUGAUUUUGUAUAGUUGUCUGCAAACUUUAAAACAUAUUAAAGUAUUUUUUUUAUUUUGUGUUUGUGUUUUACUUGCAUCUCGACAAGAGCAUUCUGUUACAUUUCCAGAGAAGGCAGUUGUAACCCAAUGAUUUGAAUAUUUCCUGGUAUAAGUGAACAGUGCAUGGCCUUGUUGACCUCGUUUGAAUGUUACCUGUACAGGAUCCACUUGGAGCAGCUGAGUAAAUACGGUAAUACACAUCGUUUCUCUUUGACAUAAUCUAUUUAAUACAGUUUAAAUGGGACUUAAUGGAGUCAGUAGUUUAGAUGUUUGAGUAAUGUUUUUUGACUUAAGUUAGUUAUGAGCUUGAGAUUUGUGUCACUUGUUACUUUGACAACUAAUUUCAGCAUUUUAUCUAGUCUAAAUUAUUAUUGUUGGUGCUUUUGCUCACUCGAACCAGGAUGAGUUUAAUAGAUUUCUUUAUUUUCCCAAAGCUCUCUUUAUUGUUUAUUAUUUCUUGGAGGAAAAGCAGAGUUUCACUUAAUAUUUUUUAAGUUUCAUUACCAACCAUCUUAAAAUGCAUUUUUAAAGCAUGGCUUUAAUUUAAGACUCGAUAUAAAUAGAGUAAAGGUAGAGUGGACAGUGAGUGAGGCAAUUGAUGGCAAUAACUAGUUUAUUGUAAAUGUGUCCUUUAGUGCAACACUGUUGACCACCCACUCACUAUUUUAUCAAAAUACUUGUUCAGCCAUAAAUGGAUAACACGGCAGGCAUACAUUUAUGCAGGUAUGUGUGUUAUUUAUUUAUUUUGUUUUUGUGUUUAUUCAGGGACGUUACACUGAGAGUAAGCUUGUCAUUUACAGGAACACCCUGAUCACAUUCACACAUUUGCAUCUGGAAGCUGCCCAGUGUAACCAGUCUGAUCUGCUAGCAACAGAGUAGCUCCUCUAGCGGUUAGGGCAUAGGGCCUUGCUCAAGGGCAUCUGUGGCUUCUCCACCCAGAUUUAUCCUGCCAGUCCGGAGAUUAAACCAACGACCUCAAGGUUGUUUCACAAGCUCCCUUCGCUAAACUUUACGCUACCAGUUGCCCAAGUAUGAAACAUUUUUCACACUAAACGAGCCUAUACAGUCAACCAAAUAUCAAACCUAAAAAUAAUCCAACAAGUCCCUGUCUUUUCAGCAUUUCCACCAUGACUUCUUCAGACAGCGACCUUCAAAACAUAUUGACCGAGUUGAACCAUCUUUCACUCAAGAGACAACAACUUAUGGAAAGGAGAAAAAUCCAGUGCAUAUUUCAGGAGAUGAGGAAUCGUGCAGAAUUUGGAGAAACAGAGGCGGCAGCCUCAAAUCUGCAUGAGAUUGACAACAUUGAUGACAAACUGAAACAACUGACAGAAAGGAAGGCAGAGCUCCAAAUACUCCACGAUAACAUCCUAAAUGCCAAAGACAUGACGAAUGGCAAGAAAGGUGAGUCCAAUGAUGCCGAAGACAUGAAGAAUGGCAAGAAAGGUGAGUCCAAUGAAGCCGAAGACAUGAAGAAUGGCAAGAAAGGUGAGUCCAAUGAUGCCGAAGACAUGAAGAAUGGCAAGAAAGCUGAAUCCAAAUUUACUGGCAGCAUGUCAUUACUUCACUACUCAAUAUUUUGGUUUUGUAACAACCCCAUUCUUUUUUGUUAGAGGUUAGCAUCUCCUCCCGUCAGAUUGUGCCCGAUGUUCCUGAUCCUCGCUCCGAUAUUUUCUAUGUUAAGGGUCCACCUAACAUCCCCGCCCCUACGGUGAUUCUGGACAUGAAAAAACUUCCAGCAUGUCCAUGCAGGACACAGUGUCCUGAGUGUAAGCAGUUCAUAAUGACAGAGACUGUUACUUCCAUCAGCAGUGUCACCUGGAUGAUGUGCUUCAUGAUAGCUUCGUUUGGGUAGGAAAAUA